rfam:Cajanus cajan Scaffold134655_9, whole genome shotgun sequence.
AGGUGCAUUACUGGGCAAUGACUUCUUUGGCAGUUGACCAUUCAGCUGCUUGUCAUCAUGAAGCAGAAAAGCUAAGUUACCGCCAAAGAAGAUUUGCCCGGCAAUUCACCC